rnacentral:rRNA from 1 species
GCAAACUCUUAGCCGUGACGUGCGGUAAUAGUGCGGUGGCAAGCGGUAUUCGGAAUUACUGGGCGGAAAGCUGGCGUGUACGGUAGCGUAAGGCAGUUGUGAAAGCCCCGGGCUCAACCUGGGAAUUGCAUUUGUGACUGCUCUGCUCGGGUGCGGAAGAGGGAAGCGGAAUUUCCGGUGUAGCGGUGAAAUGCGUAGAUAUCGGAAGGAACACCAGUGGCGAAAGCGGCUUCCUGGUCCGACACCGACGUUCAGGCACGAAAGCGUGGGGAGCAAACAGGAUUAGAUACCCGAGUAGUC